GUUUGUAUAAUAAAAAGAGGGCUCCUUUGCGCACAUGCGCAGAUCGGACUGUACCGCAUCUUUAAUAUGUAUGCAGUAAAACGGUAAAAUUUGUAUUCUCCCUUUCCCCUUAUGAUUUAUGUGCAAAGAACAUAGAAAUGAGAUUGUUCAAACAAUAGCCAUACAUGUGAACAACACUAAUUUUGAUGCCCCCUACCAGCCUUAGCCUACCCCGUCAGCUUUGCCUUUGCAGUAAUUGGCAAUAAGAUGUUGCAGUGACCAGGGGCAGGGCACACUAUUUUGUUGUUGUAAUAUUAAAUUUUAUGUUUGGCAAAAUUAAUAAACUAAACUGUGGCUGUGCAC